ACCCCCUCUCAGCCUCCUCCCCCUCCACCCUUCACCCCCUCUCAGCCUUCUCCCCCUCCACCCUUCAACCCCUCUCAGCCUCCUCCCCCUCUAUCCUUCACCCCUUCUCAGCCUUCUCCCCCUCCACCCUUCAACCCCUCUCAGCCUUCUCUCCCACUGGUGAAAGAAUGCCGCAAACACAGGACACAGAAGGUGUUCCUGUAUGAUAGGAUUUUAAGAAAAAGAGUUGCAAAUGGAAGAGCAGAAGUGAAAGUGAGGUGGCAAUCAUGCACAAAAUGUGGCAAGGCCUGGAAGGACACGUGGGAGCCAGCUGAGCAGUAUCAACAGAAAUAAAGUCCUGUUUAGUUCUCACCUGUAUAUGUUUCAAUAUGUUAUAUGUUAAUUCUGCCGUUGGAAUAACACACACACACACACACACACACACACACACACACACACACACACACACACACACACACACACCAAAAUAAUGUUCAAUAAAAUAUGUUUUAUGGUAUGUUUGUUGUCUUUUUAAAUAAUUUUUGGAUUUUUUUCUUUGAUAAUGGCGGACAGUUUUUAUUCUUGGUGGAAAAUAUGAUAUUGUAGUGCCAGAGGAAAGGGAGAACGUAGGCAACGUAAUAAGAACCGUUUUAAUCCAGAAAACAAAGCAGAACAGUGGGUCUGUUCGAAACCACCUACUUGCUUCCUACUCUUACUAACUAUGACGUCAAAUUGAGUAAGUAGAACGUAGUAAGCGAGUUUUAGGUAAGCGAGUAGUAUCCGAAUGUCUUCUACUUCCGGAAAGAUUUUGUGUAAGCAUCGCUAGCUUACUAGACGUACUUAACC